UACGAAGGGGGCAAGCGUUGUUCGGAAUUACUGGGCGUAAAGGGCGCGUAGGCGGCCUGCUAAGUCGAACGUGAAAUCCCCGGGCUCAACCCGGGAACUGCGUCCGAUACUGGCAGGCUUGAAUCCGGGAGAGGGAUGUGGAAUUCCAGGUGUAGCGGUGAAAUGCGUAGAUAUCUGGAGGAACACCGGUGGCGAAGGCGGCAUCCUGGACCGGUAUUGACGCUGAUGCGCGAAAGCCAGGGGAGCAAACGGG
rnacentral:rRNA from 1 species